rnacentral:rRNA from 1 species
UACGGAGGGUGCAAGCGUUAUCCGGAUUUACUGGGUUUAAAGGGUGCGUAGGUGGGUCGGGUAGUCAGUGGUGAAAUACUUUCGCUUAACGAAGGAACUGCCAUUGAUACUCCCAAUCUUGAAUGUAGUGGAGGUAGGCGGAAUGCGUCAUGUAGCGGUGAAAUGCUUAGAUAUGACGCAGAACACCAAUUGCGAAGGCAGCUUGCUACACUACUAUUGACACUGAGGCACGAAAGCGUGGGGAUCAAACAGG